rnacentral:rRNA from 1 species
GACGAACGCUGGCGGCGUGCUUAACACAUGCAAGUCGAACGGAAAGGCCCUGCUUUUGUGGGGUGCUCGAGGGGCGAACGGGUGAGUAACACGUGAGUAACCUGCCCUUGACUUUGGGAUAACUUCAGGAAACUGGGGCUAAUACCGGAUAGGAGCUCCUGCUGCAUGGUGGGGGUUGGAAAGUUUCGGCGGUUGGGGAUGGACUCGCGGCUUAUCAGCUUGUUGGUGGGGUAGUGGCUUACCAAGGCUUUGACGGGUAGCCGGCCUGAGAGGGUGACCGGCCACAUUGGGACUGAGAUACGGCCCAGACUCCUACGGGAGGCAGCAGUGGGGAAUAGUGCACAAUGGGCGGAAGCCUGAUGCAGCAACGCCGCGUGCGGGAUGACGGCCUUCGGGUUGUAAACCGCUUUCGCCUGUGACGAAGCGUGAGUGACGGUAAUGGGUAAAGAAGCACCGGCUAACUACGUG